UAGUAUUACUGAGGUACAUAUCUAAAAACAUGGUAAUAAUAAUAAUAAUAAAAACAGUUACAAAGAGAGCAGUUUUAUUGGUUAAAUAUACAGGAUGUUAUAGGUUUAACAGGAAAGUAAUUCCCAGGAGUUGGUUAGUCAACAUCACAGGUGCCGCACAAACACGCACUGAAGAAAGCAGUCUUAGCUUUCCCUCUCCCAUAUGUGAAUGACGACGUUAUUUAGAAAAACCACAAGCACACUCACUCACUCACACACACACACACACUUUCUGACACCCAGUGAUCACAGCAUAUUCAGUCCUUGUAUAUAUAUUAUGGCUUGAAAAUGUGUUUCCUCACAACCACCCUCUGCAUGAUUCGAUAUAAUACAUCACAGCUGUACACAUACAUUUAUACAUAACGUAUCAUACACAUCCAAACUGACCCAGAAACAUCCACACAAGCGUUCAAAACUGCCUAUCUCCAGGCAAAGCUGAGCCCCGCCCCUCUCUAUGACAUCAUAGUCCACUCCAGGAAAUGGGUGAAUCUCAAGAAAUGCUGACGGAAAUUUUCACGUCAAAAAUCAAAAGAAAAAAAUGCAUAAAAAAAAAUACAAUAAAAAUAAAAAUACGCUAUUAUUAUGACCAUUAGAAUUUUUUUCUUUGUGACAUUAUUUUAAUAUUUUCGUUACUGCCAUACGAAAAAAAAAAAAUCCUAUUCUCAUUCCUGUAAUGCAAAAAAAAAAAAAAAAAAAAGAAAAUCUUAAUACUGUAACAGCAAUGAAAAUCAUCCUGAUUUGACAAAUUUCAUAAGAUUAGCCUUACUAAAAAAUUUAGUUCACAGCAGAAUUUCUGUGUAAAUCAUUCAUAAAAAUAACAAAAAUUUGUUUUUAUGUAAACUGUUGCAUUCAAUUUGACAAUGGGCCUCCAACAUGAAAUACGAACAGAACAUAUUUCUGUGAUUCAUUAGAGAAAAAAAAAACACCAGUAUUUAAUUAAAUGUGACAAAUUACGUAGGACACACGGACCAAUUUCUGUGAGAAUCGUUUGUAAAGAAAACAUUAUGUAAACUGUUGCAUUCAUUUCAACAAAUUAACCAAGACUGGCCUUACAAACGAUUUACGGAUUUCACAGCCAAAUUUCUGUGAAUCGUUCAUAAAAAAAAAACAAAAACAUUAUGUAAACUGUCGCAUUCAAUUUGACAAAUUACGCAAGAUUGAGCUAAUUAAUGAUUUACAGGUUCACGAACCAAUUUCUGAGUGAAUCGUUCGUAAAACAUUUUUUAUGUAAACUGUCGCAUUCAAUUUGACAAAUUAUGCAAGACUGGGCUAAUUAACGAUUUACAGGUUCACGGACGAAUUUCUGAGUGAAUCGUUCGGAAAAUUCAUUUUUAAAGUAAACUGACGCUUUCAAUUUGACAAAUUACGCAAAACUGGACAAACUAACGAUUUACAGGUUCACGGAUGAAUUUCUGAGUGAAUCGUUGGGAAAAUGUUUUUUUAUGUAAACUGACGCUUUCAAUUUGACAAAUUAUGCAAGACUGGGCUAAUUAACGAUUUACAGGUUCACGGAUGAAUUUCUGAGUGAAUCGUUGGGAAAAUGUUUUUUUAUGUAAACUGACGCUUUCAAUUUGACAAAUUACGCAAGACUGGGCUAAUUAACGAUUUACAGGUUCACGGAUGAAUUUCUGAGUGAAUUGUUGGGAAAAUGUUUUUUAUGUAAACUGUCGCAUUCAAUUUGACAAAUUACGCAAGACUGGGCUAAUUAACAAUUUACAGGUUCACGAACCAAUUUCUGAGUGAAUCUUUCGUAAAACAUUUUUUAUGUAAACUGUCGCAUUCAAUUUGACAAAUUACGCAAGACUGGGCUAAUUAACGAUUUACAGGUUCACGGAUGAAUUUCUGAGUGAAUCGUUGGGAAAAUGUUUUUUUAUGUAAACUGACGCUUUCAAUUUGACAAAUUACGCAAGACUGGGCUAAUUAACGAUUUACAGGUUCACGGAUGAAUUUCUGAGUGAAUCGUUGGGAAAAUGUUUUUUUAUGUAAACUGACGCUUUCAAUUUGACAAAUUACGCAAGACUGGGCUAAUUAACGAUUUACAGGUUCACGAACCAAUUUCUGAGUGAAUCUUUCGUAAAACAUUUUUUAUGUAAACUGUCGCAUUCAAUUUGACAAAUUACGCAAGACUGGGCUAAUUAACAAUUUACAGGUUCACGGACAAAUUUCUGAGUGAAUCAUUCAUAAAAAUCAUUUUUAUGUAAACUGUCGCAUUCAAUUUCACAAAUUACAUAAGACUGGCCUAACUAACGAUUUAAGGUUCACAGACGAAUUUCUGAGUGAAUCGUCCGUAAAAAUUUUUAUGUAAACUGUCGCUUUCAAUUUGACAAAUUAAACAAGACUGGGUUAAUUAAGGAU